GAACACAUGACAGGUAGACAGUGUAGUUUCCACAGCAUGGCUCUGCCACAAAAAGGCAGACACCAGUCUUAGUGGUCAUUAGCAAAUACCUGGAUUAAAUUCCACAUGGACAAAAUCUGAUUAUUGAGACAGCUUUCUACAAAUGAUGAGCAGACUGAUUAUAGAAAAGCACAGAGGAUUAUAGGAGAAUGACCGUAAAAAAGGGCAGAGUUAGGGAGCUUAAUCUGAGCAGAGUGGAACAGGACAACUGCAGCCAAGUAGGGUAGGAAGGCUCCAUUGGAGGAUAACAAAGUAGGCCAAUAGUUUUGGCAGUGGGAAAAGGAGCAUGAGCCAAGUCUAUCAGGAGGAAAAGAAGAGCGAGAAGAACUGUUCCUCUGAUGAGGAGUGGAAUGAGCCAGCCUUUUUUAAAGAGAGAAUCAGACCAUACUCAGCAGAGGAGAGAAUUAUAUAGCAACAGCACUUGAAAAGCCUGAAAUCAAUAUUACUUGAUUGGAAAGAGCUGUUAGAAGACAACAAGCAGUCCAUAAAGCCAGCAUGAAGCACGGCCCAGAGCUGUCAGUGGCAACCUCAAGAUCAGAAGGUUCUCACAGCUCACCAGAAGAAAUGCCAGAGGACACAUUCAUCAGGUCCCCAGUAUAUGGAUGAGGAACACCUUAGGAAAUACAAAAUAAAGCAAUGUGUAAGCCAACCCUUCCAACUCCAGUGGGGGAAGGUACCUAGAAAAAGCACAAAAGUAAAUGCUGUUGACCUCCCUGACAAGAGACUGAAAAGGAACCUGCUCUGGGAAGCCAAGACUUUUUGCCUCUGUAACAACUGGGUCUUCAUGACAGUUUAAGCAAUAAAAUAGUUUAAUCUCUCUGGAUUGCAAAAACCGAAACCCCUGACAAGGACAAGAGAUUGGCAGAAUUCGUAAUAAUAUAUUUUUACUUAUGUCACAUAUUUGUAAUUUCAAGGACAUGAUUCACAAUGACCCGAUUGUAAUGUUGCAUAGGCAUUGUUCUACACUGAUUUGUAUUAAUAUCUACAGAAGAGUAGAGUUUUCCUCUCCUAGUACUGCUUCAGAGUAUAUGCUUGUCAUUAAAAUUCUGCUCACAGAUGUGGGUUAAAAUAUCUCUAACCUUUACAAAUGUAUUAUGUGGCACUACUGACAUAGCUUUUAUUGCAGAUAAAAUCUAUAACAAAUCCUGUGUGUGACAGGAGAGGAACAUGAUUUUGUAUUAAACUCAGAUGAUAGAGAUGCAUUCCUUGCUUGUACUUUUAAAAUGCUUUGGAUAUAGUAACAAUGAGUUAGGCUUUCAACUCCAUUGCUGUUAGAAAGCCAUUACAUCUAUUUUUUUUUCCCUGCCUUGGUAGUUAAAUAAAUUCUUCUUAAGCUGUCUUUCAGGAGAGGACAUAAAAGAGUGGAAAUAUUUCAACUCACUUCCAAUCUUGGUUGAACACAUCAGAAGUAAACAAGAAAUCAGUUUAUUAGGAUGGACUAUGUAACAUCCAUCAGUGAAAAUCUUUUAUAACCUGAAUAUAACACAGACCAUGGUCCUCUUCUUCUGUUUCCUAACUUCAUAUUCACAUCUAAAAGGGUCUCACAUUAAUGUAUUGAUUUCCCAAGUAUGUUUUGCACAUUCCACUGUUUAAACUGUGUUUUGAACAUCACCUGACUUGUCCAUACAUGCUGUGGGAAGGAAGUGCUUUCCCUAUUGCUUUAGUCACAGUACUGUAAUCCUGGAUAUUUUAAAACAAGAAGGCUUCAUCAGUUUGCAAAGUGAAGGCAUGUGUUGAAACUAGUGUUUAAACUAGACAAUAUUCCCCAAAAAUUGUUUUUUGUUUUUUUUUUCUGCAAUAACAUUGUCCUUUUUGCUUAUAUCAACUGAGUCUGAUUCCACCCUUGUCACAAAAUAAUGGUUUCCAUUGGAUAAGGUGAGAGCUCCCUUUGGUACCUAUGGGCAUAGAUAGCUAACACCAAAAUCUUACAACCAGAUCUAGUACUGUAACUUUGUUCUUAAGAGAGGUGAAGCUGUCAUUGUGCAGCUGGAGGAGAUGGCUUGCUGUGGGUUGAGACCUAAAUACCACAACUUUGCUGUUCUUACCAUGCAGAGAUGGAGAACUUGACCAGAUUGUGACGUCAAACACACUUUAGGAUGAGCCUGUCCUAAGGAGCAUAAUACAGUAUGGUCAUCCAUUUCACAGCAGAGUUGGGAUCUGUGUCAGAAAUUUUGACCAUAUUAAUGCAUUAUCCAUAUGUUUAUAUAAAUACAAAGGCUUACUACUUAUUAUUCUGUUUUUAAAGGAAAGAAGGUCAUACUAAGUGAUUGUUGUUGUUUCAUCUGUCAAGGUGGACUCACAAAAUAUAUUUGAAUCUCAUAUUUACUGGUGGAAAGAGCAAUAUCUGUGUUAGUAGAUUACCUUUAAUUCCAAUGUGUUUUCUUUGGGAAAAAGAACUGGAAAAGGGAGGAAAUUUAACCAAAUAAUAAAUUAAAUUAAAUUAACUAAUAAUGAUUAUGGCAUUUUUAGUUUUGGUUUUAAAAACCAGAGUGCAACAUAGGGAUAUAGGAAGUGUAUCUAAUGUGAAAUCCAGUGCCAGGGCUCUUCAGAUCAGUCCAAACAGGUUUGUGUGCACUGGAAAAAUGCUUGUAAGGGGCAGGGAGUAUUUCAUUCAGAUGCUGUCAUGUCUCUGGAUCUUUGGUUCUCAAGGACUUCUGUGUCCUCGUACAGCCCCUAGCACCUUGGAUAUGCAGGAGCAGUCUGGGGUUGUGGAGUAAUUCAUUAUACAUGCAGGGAGGAAUAAACUCUGAAAAGUUUAUUAAAGACAAUUGUCUGCAGAAGCUUGCAGAAGCAGUCCUUAUUGACAGAUAAAGAUUGAGAGAAAAUCACAUAGAGUUUUGUUAAUCAGUAAUGCUCAGUGAUGAAAGGGUGUGGGGAAGAGAACCAAACAAAAAGCAAUGAAAAGAUAGCAUGCAAAGUUACAGAAUUACUGAAUUUAGAAAGGGAUGAGGGGUGGGAUUUGUCUGACUAAGUUGAUAUACUCUUGAACUUGAAGGUUCACAGUGUUUUUUCCAUACAGAAGGGAGGUAUUUUGCAAGAGAAUUCUCAGUCUGUGGUGUAUCAAAAUAGAUGUUGUCCAGGACUGAGGUGUUGUCCAGUGCGCGCUGCUCACCUCUGCUGGCAUGGGACAGGGCUGGGCAGAGCUGGGAGAGAGCCCUCCAGGGCACUGGCUGCACACCCAGCAUGCAAGCAGAAAAGGUGGCAGCAAGCAGAAAAGGUGACAGCAGGCACUCCAGUGCUGUGCUCUUCUUAUUUAACCCUUCCUUCAGUGCAGCAAGAAUUUGUCCCAGGAGCUGGGGGCUGGAUAUUGAAGUGGAAGAGCCGGGAUAUGGCCCACCACUGAGUGACCAUCUGCACCUCUCCCCUCACUGCAGGGCUGCUGGAUGCCAGCACUGCUGAGAGCUAAGGAACAGGUCAUGACAACAGAUGCUUUGGGUCCCACAAGUGGGUAGUCAAUUCCUCCCAGUGCCCUCUCACAGUUAAUAAAGGCUUGUAAAGUCUUAAGUCAACUUCUGUUCCUAGAGAAUCCCAUGUUAAGUAUGUAUAUAUUUUGACACUCCGAUUUGGACACAGCAGAAUGUACACUCAGUGACAUUUCCUCAUCUGAAAACUGUGAAUUAAAAUCAGGAACUCUCAAGUUUUUUCAGGGUUUCAAAUUAUUUAAUUGCAAGGUUUUGCCCCUCACAGAUCAAUCAUUUAGGCAGAGAACUGAAAAACAAAAUCUUUGUAAAAUAAAGUAUUUUACCAGUGACAUAAAUGAAAUGUUUCUUUUGAGAGUUGCGAGAAUGUGAGGGGCUUCUUGAUGGAAAGAGGAUUAUGUUGAUAAAAGGUCCCCAACCCUUCUCUUGAAUUUUCUCUGCAGUUCACUUACUUAAUAAGAUUAUGGGAACAGAUACCAUUUUUUUGUUGUUGUUGCUUUAAAUUUGUUUAAUUUAGUCAUGAUGCUAAAUCAUUUCCAGAAUUCUUCAUGCAGUAAUUUGAGAUUUUCAGAGAAUAUUUAUUGAGGUCUUUUCUACAUACCGAAUUUCCCUACCUUUAGAGGGGGAAUCAUGAUGCCAAAUCUACUUUUUGGAGAAAGUCUAAAGUUUGGGAAAUUCUAAAGAAAUAUACACAUACAUAAUAUUGGCAUUACCAUACAGUUCCUAAUAAUUUAUUUAUUUAUUCAAACAUACAUUGUAUCAUUAAAAACUUCCUGAUAUUAUUUCCAAUUAUAUUUAUUAAAUAUAUUAUUCAUAUACAUUUUAAUAUCAACACCAAAAUCCUGAUGAAAAAUGCCCAAAAGGUUUCCAAUUAAUGUUAUUCACUUAUUGUCAGUUUCUAACACCACUGACAGCAAUUUCAUAGAGAUGUUAAUGAAUUUUACAUUAUAUUCAUGAGAAUGAAUGUCUUUCUCAUCAAAUAAGAUGUACGAGUUUCUGGCCAGAAAAGUGUAACUGAGUUUGCAAAAAUGUUAAGAUGUAGCAUAUUUCUGAGAGAACAAUUUGCAGUGUGUAUGGAAGAAAGCUGAUAGCACUUGAUUAUAUUGUAAAUUACAUAAUUCUUCUCCAUAUACUAUACUUCUACUGAAAUGGGAGAGGGAGUUUGCCUCGGUUUAAUGCCUUUUUCAGAGAUACUGAACACAGAUGGAUACAUUUAUAUCAGUCUAAAUUUUUGUGUCAAAGAAGAUAGAAGUCACUAUAAAUUAAAUUCCAAGGCAUUUCAGUCUUCACUAUCUAAACUCUGGAUGAAAAAAGUAAUAAACAUCUACAGUAAAAAAACUGUUUUUAUUUCAUUUUGCUUUGGUAUAAAA